GCAUAAAUUUCAAUUUCUCGGUUUUGGAUUAAUUGGGGCAAUGCUUAGGAAUGUUUUCUUUUGGACCCGAAAGUAAGUUAUAAACUUUCGGAUCAGGUGUUGGGUAAUUUCGGUUGUUGGACCAUGGACGUAAGUUAGUCAUUCACCUAUAAGAAUCAAGUUAAAACGGUUCGAUAACAUCUUGCAAGUUUUUUCUAAACUUCGAGGCUAAAGUGAUCUUUCGCAUAUGAGUUUUCUAAAAAAAAUUAAAAUCCUUUGUGAUAUGGAAACAUCUCGAUUUUGGAAACGUGGUGGGUUUCUUGAUCAGCUUCCUCUGUCCUUUGGAUAAGUCCGUGAUUAGUCUGUUUAAGUUUAUGUUACAGUAGGAAUGAAAGUUAGUUUUUCAAAAAUUGGGAUCCAGUUCGAUCUUAUGGCAUAGGUGCAUAUUUCGAGUUUUUUCCUCUAGUCGUUUAAUUUCUGUUUAGAUUAUGCUGUCUCCACCUAUUUUCUCCUUCUAUCGUUUCAGUAUUGCUGGUGGGGUUUCACAAAUCUUGCUUUUGCCUUUAAAUAUAUUAGUUUCUAGUUUUGAUCAUAAUAAUUACUAGGCUCUUCUUUCAUCUUGAUUUGAUAACCGAUGCUUUCUGUUUGUGACCUAGAUUUCACUAAACAGGAGGAUCCCUUUAUGGUGUUUUCUUUCAGUAAUAAUUUCUUAAAAAAAAAAGGAUUUUUGUGGUUGCAAUUAUCGGAACAUUUCUACGGUAUCCCCCGCCCCCCAGAAUACUGGUUCUAUUUAAUCUAUUCCGGCUCAAAAAGAUCAAUUUGUUCGAUAUCCGCUACUCUUACAGAAAAUAGCUAAGAGAAUCGAGACAGGAACCUUCAAAGGAGCUGAAUCAGGCAUCUUCAGGACUUCCACUGAUGAAGAAGCAGAAGCUCUAGUUCUCCUUCAAGCAGUUAAAUGGGCCAAACUACAUAACAUACAACAUCUGGUCAUAGAAGGAGAUAACAGGGCAGCAAUUAGGUAUUUACAGGGAAAUGAAUCAACUAUCCAAUAGCAAAGCAUUGCAAUUCUAGAAGAAGUUAAGAAGCUAGUAGAACAAAUGGUCUCUUUUUUGGGUUUCCAAUACGUAGACAGACGAGCAAACAAAGUGGCAGACCAAUUGGCAAAGAAAUGAAGAAAAAGUACCACUGCAAUUUCUUGGUUAGACCAAGCUCCCUUACUUUUAAUUCCAACAAUUGCUUUUGACACUGUUAAAGCUUAUGAAUCUUGUAAUAUAAGUACAAACCUUGUACCAGUUCAAAAUGAGGCUAAUCAAUCAUUAGCGGGACAACUCUAUCUGAGCUCGCUCCU